rnacentral:rRNA from 1 species
GACGAACGCUGGCGGCGUGCUUAACACAUGCAAGUCGAACGGAAAGGCCCUGCUUUUGUGGGGUGCUCGAGUGGCGAACGGGUGAGUAACACGUGAGUAACCUGCCCUUGACUUUGGGAUAACUUCAGGAAACUGGGGCUAAUACCGGAUAGGAGCUCCUGCUGCAUGGUGGGGGUUGGAAAGUUUCGGCGGUUGGGGAUGGACUCGCGGCUUAUCAGCUUGUUGGUGGGGUAGUGGCUUACCAAGGCUUUGACGGGUAGCCGGCCUGAGAGGGUGACCGGCCACAUUGGGCCUGAGAUACGGCCCAGACUCCUACGGGAGGCAGCAGUGGGGAAUAUUGCACAGUGGGCGGAAGCCUGAUGCAGCAACGCCGCGUUCGGGAUGACGGCCUUCGGGUUGUAAACCGCUUUCGCCUGUGACGAAGCGUGAGUGACGGUAAUGGGUAAAGAAGCACCGGCUAACUACGUG